GACGUAGGGCGCAAGCGUUGUCCGGAUUUAUUGGGCGUAAAGAGCUCGUAGGCGGCCUGUCGCGUCGACCGUGAAAACCCGCAGCUCAACUGCGGGCUUGCGGUCGAUACGGGCAGGCUGGAGUUCGGUAGGGGAGACUGGAAUUCCUGGUGUAGCGGUGGAAUGCGCAGAUAUCAGGAGGAACACCGGUGGCGAAGGCGGGUCUCUGGGCAGUAACUGACGCUGAGGAGCGAAAGCGUGGGGAGCGAACAGG
rnacentral:rRNA from 1 species